UACGUAGGUGGCGAGCGUUGUCCGGAAUCACUGGGCGUAAAGGGCGCGUAGGCGGCGACACAAGUCGCAUGUGAAAUACCAGGGCUCAACCCUGGGGGGUCAUGCGAAACUGUGUUGCUUGAGUGCAGUAGAGGGAAGCGGAAUUCCUGGUGUAGCGGUAAAAUGCGUAGAGAUCAGGAGGAACACCGGUGGCGAAGGCGGCUUCCUGGGCUGUAACUGACGCUGAUGCGCGAAAGCGUGGGGAG
rnacentral:rRNA from 1 species